rnacentral:lncRNA from 1 species
CAUAACUCAAAAUCCAGGUCUAGUUUUUCCUUAAUCCUGGAGGUACUGGGGCGUCCUGCACCUUACUUUGCCCUGUCCAUAGGUUCCCUCUUUUCUUGAUCAUAGACAAAAUUACCCCUGAGAACAACAACAGCCUCAUCCAUGAGAUGUAGUUUAGUUUUCCUGGUGUGGAAAAGAAAACUGCAACAUCCAACAGUACACUUUCUGUUGCACGACUUGUUCAGUCAGGAAAUACAGUGCAUUUGGAGCGUCAGAAUGAUUUAGCAGAGCAGGGGGCUUUUGUCUGGUCCUCUUUAGAGUCCCACUGCCAGAACAUGGGGGAAGUUAAGACUUAUAAUCACCCAUAGCUUUCAAACAGAACACACAUAGCAUCUCCACCACCACCAAAUGACCACCUUCAUCAUCUUCAUCUGCAACCCCAUCACUACCGCCAUGACCAUCACCACCAUACCACUACCACCACCAUCACCACCACCAUCACUGUGACCAUCACCUCCACCUCCACCUUCAUUACCACCAUCACCACCACCACCACCUCCAUCUCCACCUGCAACCCCAGCACUACCACCAUGACCACCACCACCAUCACUGCCAUCACCAUCAUUACCAUCACCUCCACCUCUACCUUCAACAUCACCAUCACAAUGACCACCACCAUCACCACCAGAAACACUGAAUAAAAUAAUGAAAGUGCAGCCUUAGGCUGGGCACGGUGGCUCACACCUGUAAUCCCAGCACUUUGGGAGGCUGAGGCGGGCAGAUCACUUGAGGUCAGGAGUUCGAGACCAGCCUGGCCAACAUGGUGAAACCCCGUCUCUACUAAUGUGAAAUACUAAAUGUAAAAAUACAAAAAUUAGCUGGGUGUGGUGGUGGGCACUUGUAAUCCCAGCUACUUGGGAGGCUGAAGCAGGAGAAUCACUUGAACCCCGGGAGAUGGAGGUUGCAGUGAGCAGAGAUUGUGCCAUUGCACUCCAGCCUGGGCGACAGAGUGAGACUCCAUCUCAAAAUAAAUAAAUAAAUAAAAAUUAAAAAAAAAUAAAAAAGAA